AGAGUUUGAUCAUGGCUCAGGAUGAACGCUGGCGGCGUGCCUAACACAUGCAAGUCGAGCGAAGCGCUUAUGCGGAUUUCUUCGGAAUGAAGCGUAUGCGACUGAGCGGCGGACGGGUGAGUAACGCGUGGGGAACCUGCCUCAUACAGGGGGAUAACAGUUGGAAACGACUGCUAAUACCGCAUAAGCGCACAGAAGCGCAUGCUUCCGUGUGAAAAGCCGAGACGGUAUGAGAUGGACCCGCGUUAGAUUAGCCAGUUGGCGGGGUAACGGCCCACCAAAGCGACGAUCUAUAGCCGGCCUGAGAGGGCGACCGGCCACAUUGGGACUGAGACACGGCCCAAACUCCUACGGGAGGCAGCAGUGGGGAAUAUUGCACAAUGGGGGAAACCCUGAUGCAGCGACGCCGCGUGAGUGAAGAAGUAUUUCGGUAUGUAAAGCUCUAUCAGCAGGGAAGAAAAUGACGGUACCUGACUAAGAAGCCCCGGCUAACUACGUGCCAGCAGCCGCGGUAAUACGUAGGGGGCAAGCGUUAUCCGGAUUUACUGGGUGUAAAGGGAGCGCAGACGGUCUUGCAAGUCUGGAGUGAAAACCCGGGGCUCAACCCCGGGACUGCUUUGGAAACUGUGGGACUGGAGUACCGGAGGGGUAAGCGGAAUUCCUAGUGUAGCGGUGAAAUGCGUAGAUAUUAGGAGGAACACCAGUGGCGAAGGCGGCUUACUGGACGGUAACUGACGUUGAGGCUCGAAAGCGUGGGGAGCAAACAGGAUUAGAUACCCUGGUAGUCCACGCCGUAACGA
rnacentral:rRNA from 1 species